AGAAGCAACUGGCGUUUGCAUGGCUACUGAGCAUUACUGAUAGGACCCGAAAGGUGGUGAACUUUGCCUGCACAGGUUGAAGUCAGGGGAAACUCUGAUGGAGGACCGUACGGGUUAUUGAUGUGCAAAUCAUUUUUCUGAUGUAGGUAAAGGUGCGAAAGACUCAUCGAACCACCUAAUAGCUGGUUUCCUCCGAAGUUUCCCUCAGGAUAGCUGUAAUGCAUUUAGUUAAGGGGAGUAGAGAUAUGGGUAGAGGUGCAGGGAGCCUUCGGGUUCUCAACUUAUUUCCAAACUUCGAACCUCCUUGUUAGGCAUUUACCUAACUGGAAAUGCUUAAAUGAAUUAGCGUUACAAGUGGGCUCUGACCGGUAAGCGGUCAUGGCGAAAUGGGAUGAACCAUACGUCUGAAUAAGGUGCCGAAAUGUACUAUCACUGAUACCAUAAAGGGAGUCCAUGUAUUUAGACAGCAGGUCGGUGCCCCUAAAAGCAGGUAUCCGCUAAAGAGUGUGUUAAAACUCACCUGCCGAAUACUAGGGCCCCGAAAAUGAAUGGCGCAUAUAGUACUACCGAUCUCAGACAUCAGUUCUAUUGAACUGAGAGUAGGGGGAUGUGGACAUUUUUGUGAAGGUGCAAUGUGAGUUGGACUGGAAGAAUGUCUAUUACAGAUCCUAAUUGAAGUAGCGAUUAUCCAGGCUUGUAUCCUGGGGGCUGAUGAGGAGUAGGGUUUCUGGACAACUUAAACAGAUCCAGAGUUAGUCGAUCCUAAUCUCAAUAAUGGGAGAAAGGGAGUACAGUUGAUAUUCUGUAACUGACAACAGUUCGCGGCAACGCAUACUAUUUUUCUCCGCCAAUCUUAUACCGUUGGUAGGGAUCUCUUUCCUACAUGACAGUACUAAUACCCAGGGAAACUGGUCAUCAGGCGAACUGCGGCGUUCUGCUGGCAAAACAUAGCUUCGUUAUGUCAAUGGCUAUUGGAUUGGUCCAUGAAGCGAAAAUAGUUUACUGUGUCACUCGUACCGAUAACGCA
rfam:Trichomonas vaginalis G3, whole genome shotgun sequence.